rnacentral:misc_RNA from 1 species
GAUGAAGAACGUAGCGAAAUGCGAUACUUGGUGUGAAUUGCAGAAUCCCGUGAACCAUCGAGUCUUUGAACGCAAGUUGCGCCCGAAGACACUAGGCCGAGGGCACGCCUGCCUGGGCGUCACACGCCGUUGCCCCCCCAUCUACUCCUUCGGGAUUGCGGGGGGGCGGAUGAUGGCCUCCUGUGCGCCUAGCCGCGCGGUUGGCAUAAAUACCAAGUCCUCGGCGACGCACGCCACGACAAUCGGUGGUUGCGAAACCUCGGUUGCCCGUCGUGUGCGUUCGUCGCGCAUCGAGGGCUCGAAAAAAUGCUCGGCUCCGGCUGGGCUUUCAACGCGACCCCAGGUCAGGCGGGGUUACCCGCUGAAUUUAAGCAUAUCAAUAAGCGGAGGA